rnacentral:rRNA from 1 species
GGAAGGAUCAUUACUGAACCGUCGACACGAGUUGUUGCUGGCCCUUGAAAGGGGGCAUGUGCACGCUCUGUUUACACAUCCACUCACACCUGUGCACCCUCUGUAGUUCUAUGGCAUUGGGGACUCCGUCCUCUCGCUGUGGUUCUGCGCCUUUACACACACACACCGUAAUACAGACUCAUGGAAUGCAUGUCGCGUCUAACGCAAUACAAUACAACUUUCAGCAACGGAUCUCUUGGCUCUCGCAUCGAUGAAGAACGCAGCGAAAUGCGAUAAGUAAUGUGAAUUGCAGAAUUCAGUGAAUCAUCGAAUCUUUGAACGCACCUUGCGCCCUUUGGCUAUUCCGAAGGGCAUGCCUGUUUGAGUAUCGUGAACACCUCAACUCUCAUGGUCCGCCAUGAUGAGCUUGGACUUUGGGGGUAUUGCUGGCCUAACCGUCGGCUCCUCUCAAACGAAUCAGCUUGCCAGUGUUUGGUGGCGUCAUGGGUGUGAUAACUAUCUACGCUCGUGGUCUUCCACCAAGUAACCUUCAGUGAUGGAGGUUCGCUGGAGCUCACAGACGUCUCUCCUCAGGGAAGACAGCUUUUUGAACGUUUGAUCUCAAAUCAGGUAGGACUACCCGCUGAACUUAAGCAUAUCAAUAAGCGGAGGAAAAGAAACUAACAAGGAUUCCCCUAGUAACUGCGAGUGAAGCGGGAAGAGCUCAAAUUUAAAAUCUGGCGUGCCUCUGGUCGUCCGAGUUGUAGUCUGGAGAAGCGUUUUCCGUGUUGGACCGUGUAUAAGUCUCUUGGAACAGGGCGUCAUAGAGGGUGAGAAUCCCGUCUUUGACACGGACUACCAAUGCUUUGUGAUGCGCUCUCAAAGAGUCGAGUUGUUUGGGAAUGCAGCUCAAAAUGGGUGGUAAAUUCCAUCUAAAGCUAAAUAUAGGCGAGAGACC